ACACCACAGGGGAUGAAGGUAUGAGCUGUGCUUUGCACACCCUGGCACUUCACCUGGGCUCAGAAUAACCCGGGCCAAUGUGCACCUGGAGCGGGACGAAUUCAGCUCAGAGGAGUGGAUAAUGCAUGUUGGGGCUGGUGGAGCAGCUCUUGUUCCCCUACACCCCAUGCCCACAAGGAUGACUGUGGCUGUGGUGGGACCAACACAUGAGCUGUGGACUCUCUGGAGUUUGCCUACAUAUGCAGCUCGUAGCGCCCCUGGGACGUGAUCUUGUGGAUGUUGUCCAAGCCUGUUGAGGCAAACAGUGAAACACCUGGUGAGACCCGGCGCCUGGAUCCGCUCCGUGAGCAAACAGGGAAAGCUCUAAGCAAAUAAGACAGCUGUGGGAAAUGAGAGCGAGGAGAGGAAUCAAAGAGCAGCAGCACUUCUGGACGAACAAGUUAGGGAGCUGCUGACCUUCACCAUGUGCUUUUACGUGACGUGUCCAUGAGUGUCUUCUAAUGUGAAGGGCAGGGAAUGAACAGAAGGAAAACUGUCUGAGGGAGAGCGUAGAGGAAUGUGGUGAAAGGCAGGGAGCCAACAGCUGGCACGGGUGAGCAGCACAGUGCACAGGGAGCUUGGGUUUGACACCUCGAUGAAAGACAACCAGUGAAGG